GGAUCCAGACUUUGAUCAUGGCUCAGGAUGAACGCUAGCUACAGGCUUAACACAUGCAAGUCGAGGGGAAACGACAUCGAAAGCUUGCUUUUGAUGGGCGUCGACCGGCGCACGGGUGAGUAACGCGUAUCCAACCUGCCCAUCACUUGGGGAUAACCUUGCGAAAGUAAGACUAAUACCCAAUGAUAUCUCUAGAAGACAUCUGAAAGAGAUUAAAGAUUUAUCGGUGAUGGAUGGGGAUGCGUCUGAUUAGCUUGUUGGCGGGGUAACGGCCCACCAAGGCGACGAUCAGUAGGGGUUCUGAGAGGAAGGUCCCCCACAUUGGAACUGAGACACGGUCCAAACUCCUACGGGAGGCAGCAGUGAGGAAUAUUGGUCAAUGGACGAGAGUCUGAACCAGCCAAGUAGCGUGCAGGAUGACGGCCCUAUGGGUUGUAAACUGCUUUUAUAAGGGAAUAAAGUGAGAGUCGUGACUCUUUUUGCAUGUACCUUAUGAAUAAGGACCGGCUAAUUCCGUGCCAGCAGCCGCGGUAAUACGGAAGGUCCGGGCGUUAUCCGGAUUUAU
rnacentral:rRNA from 1 species